UUGGCGAACUCAGUGGAGACAAUGUGGCGCUGGAAGAGCACGAAAAGGAUAACGACUGGC
rnacentral:sRNA from 1 species